UAGGUUGUUGCGCAUGCGCCCAUGCUCUCAUGGGCUUGUUGGAGACAAAAGGCGGGAAAAUGUGUGAGAUGAGGAGUGACGUGAGAGGCCAGAUAGGGACAGCCAGACCAACUACCCGACUGAUUGGUGGCACUCUAAGAAAAGGCUCAGGAAAGCUGAUGGCAGACCCCUAGAUGAACCAAGAAUCAGGUGAACCCGAGACUCUUCUCUGAGUCACUUUGGGGAAACUCAAGAGGUUUUGGAAAGCCAGCUGUGUUGGAUGGCGUUUUGCUGGGACAAGCACGUGAAGACACGUUUCACUGAGGCAGACACAGGUGAGAGGAUGUUCUGCUAAAGCAAGCGCGAGAAGCAUCUUCGAGUCGAGAGAGGCACAGCUUCUGAAGGCCCUGCUGGUCUGAGUCCUCCUGCCUGGCUGUUCCUGCUGCUAUCCUGAUUCUACUGAGCUGGACUGCUGGUAUAGUCAUGAAGUGUUUGGGAGUGAAUCAAGCUGCUACUACUGAGCUGUGAACUGAACUGACCAUUUCCUGAAAACACAGAUGGGAGUUGUUCCAAAGAACCAUUUCUAAACAGGCCACUUCCCCCAAUUACUUUCUUAUCUGUGGGCUAGAAGGGAGGUUAAAGCAUUCAAGAACCAUCAUUUAAGUUUUUAAAAAAU
rnacentral:lncRNA from 1 species